UGGUAAUGCCGGAUGCUCCAGUUGAUCGCAUGGUCUUCUGGGAAAGCCUUUGCGGCAUGGGAUGGGGUCGCGUCCUAUCAGCUUGAUGGCGGGGUAACGGCCCACCAUGGCUUCGACGGGUAGCCGGCCUGAGAGGGCGACCGGCCACAUUGGGACUGAGAUACGGCCCAGACUCCUACGGGAGGCAGCAGUGGGGAAUAUUGCACAAUGGGCGCAAGCCUGAUGCAGCGACGCCGCGUGAGGGAUGGAGGCCUUCGGGUUGUAAACCUCUUUUGUUAGGGAGCAAGGCAUUUUGUGUUGAGUGUACCUUUCGAAUAAGCACCGGCUAACUACGUGCCAGCAGCCGCGGUAAUACGUAGGGUGCAAGCGUUAUCCGGAAUUAUUGGGCGUAAAGGGCUCGUAGGCGGUUCGUCGCGUCCGGUGUGAAAGUCCAUCGCUUAACGGUGGAUCCGCGCCGGGUACGGGCGGGCUUGAGUGCGGUAGGGGAGACUGGAAUUCCCGGUGUAACGGUGGAAUGUGUAGAUAU
rnacentral:rRNA from 1 species